rnacentral:rRNA from 1 species
UACGAAGGGGGCUAGCGUUGCUCGGAAUCACUGGGCGUAAAGCGCACGUAGGCGGAUUGUUAAGUCAGGGGUGAAAUCCUGGAGCUCAACUCCAGAACUGCCUUUGAUACUGGCGAUCUUGAGUCCGGGAGAGGUGAGUGGAACUGCGAGUGUAGAGGUGAAAUUCGUAGAUAUUCGCAAGAACACCAGUGGCGAAGGCGGCUUUCUGGUCUGUAACUGACGCUGAGGCGCGAAAGCGUGGGGAGCAAACAGG